CGCUGAGCAUGACCAGCCCCAGCACACUGGCGACCCGGGCCAUUUUGCAGUUUCUCAUCCCGGGCCGCGCCGGGCUCGGGGAAAGCGGGGGACGCGGUGCACGGAGCUGCCGGCCGCUCGCCGGCGUGUCAGCGCGUGUCUGCCUGCCCUGCGUUCUGUGUUUGGGAAACAGCACACCAGAACACUGAUCGGUUUGAUGUGUUGGAUCAGAGGCAGGAGACGAAGAGUGAGUACAGAGAAGCCAACAGGCCUGGCACACAGCCCAGGAGUGGAAGCCGUGUGGAAAUCUGACGCCCAGACUUUGUGAAAAGUGGAAAACGAAAAGGUGCUGCCUCUUACACACCUCAGCUAUGUGUGUGAUCUGUUGCUGACUAAUGCAUCUUUAAGGAACAUAAAUUGGAAUUAUCCAGCUAACUCUGAUGAGCUGUACUUGUCUAGAAGAAGAUUCUUGAAGUAGAGCAAGACUUGAGAAGCACGGAGAGAACCAGUAUAAUGGGACUAGGAGAUGGCUCUGCAACAAGAAGUAUCUUUUGAAUAAACAUCUUCUUCCAAAGAAACCAAUUUUCUAGAUGGAAAGUUCACCUCAGAGUCCUCCUGAGACAGUGCUGUUUCCUCUCACAGGAAUGUGGAGUUGGAAUUCAGAGAGGCUGGGCUUGCUUAGUUGCCAACUUUGGUCCUGAUGUAAUAUUGUUUGGCAAUGUAGGCCAUCUUGGCUAUUGGCCCUGUAGUAUUGGAGCAGCUGUUUUAAGGCAGUGAUUAGUGAUCCACAUGGACAGGCAUCAGAAAAGUCAGACUAGAGAAAAAAAAAACAAAAGAAGGGAAUAGAAAGAAGCAUGUGUGAGCACCCAAAAGAAACCAGAGAGAGGACUAUAAGAGUUUUAUUUGCUAUAAAUGGUGUGCUGAUGAACAUCCUUAUAUGUGUGCAUUUUUCUAUACCUGUGAUUAUUUUUUAAAUGAUGACUUCAUGUGAGUGAAGUUUUUGAAUCAAAAAAUUACAUUUUGGGAAGGGAGCAUAACACGACGCUUGCCAUAGCCAUGCCUCCGGACUCCACAGCAGGCUGUUUCACUCAGGGUACCCCAGAGGGGGGCGGAUGAGAGCCCUCCCCAUCCCAAGGGAUCCAGCCCUGGCAGUCAAAACCCUCCCGAACUCAACCACCGCCAUGCCCAAGGCCGCUUCCCACACACUUGGGUCGAGGCCCACACAUGAGUGAAUGUACUCCUGGAUCACGGCCGCAAAUGCAGCUGUGCGACACAUCAUAAGACACACCUACCAUUCUCUAUAAAUAUCACACCACAAAUGAUGGGGUUCAGAUAGUAGGCAAAAAAUCAUAGAGGGAAAUAUAUAUGCAUAUAAACAUAUUUUCAUGUAUAUAUAUGAAAUCUCACACCACUGAACCUUUAACAACAUGUUAGUGAUAUCAAAGAAUAUUUUAAUGGCCCCUGCCAAAAUAGGACAAUCUUUACACUGUUUCCUAUAUGAAUACUUUUUUUGUAAGCAUUUUCAGUGGUUCUUCAUAACAGAUAGUACAAAAUAU